AACGCACCUUGCGCUCCUUGGUAUUCCGAGGAGCAUGCCUGUUUGAGUGUCAUUAAAUUCUCAACCUCACCUGGUUUUCUAACCUGUGUGAUGGCUUGGACUUGGGAGUUUUGCAGGCUACAGUUUACUGUGGUUCUGCUCUCCUUAAAUGUAUUAGCAGGUCUUUUACCUCUAUCCCAACAGUGUGAUAAUCUAUCUACGCUGCUGGUUUGGAGACCCUUUAUUGGGGGACUAGCUUCUAACCGUCUGCAAGGACAAAAUGACCAAUCUUGACCUCAAAUCAGGUAGGACUACCCGCUGAACUUAA
rnacentral:misc_RNA from 1 species